GAUGAACGCUGGCGGCGUGCCUAAUACAUGCAAGUCGAGCGAACAGAUGAGGAGCUUGCUCCUCUGACGUUAGCGGCGGACGGGUGAGUAACACGUGGAUAACCUACCUAUAAGACUGGGAUAACUUCGGGAAACCGGAGCUAAUACCGGAUAAUAUAUUGAACCGCAUGGUUCAAUAGUGAAAGACGGUUUUGCUGUCACUUAUAGAUGGAUCCGCGCCGCAUUAGCUAGUUGGUAAGGUAACGGCUUACCAAGGCAACGAUGCGUAGCCGACCUGAGAGGGUGAUCGGCCACACUGGAACUGAGACACGGUCCAGACUCCGACGGGAGGCAGCAGUAGGGAAUCUUCCGCAAUGGGCGAAAGCCUGACGGAGCAACGCCGCGUGAGUGAUGAAGGUCUUCGGAUCGUAAAACUCUGUUAUUAGGGAAGAACAAAUGUGUAAGUAACUAUGCACGUCUUGACGGUACCUAAUCAGAAAGCCACGGCUAACUACGU
rnacentral:rRNA from 1 species